AAUGUUUCUUUCCCACACUGCACCACUGCAACCUGCCCACAGGACUGCUGAACAUCAAGGUGCCAUGCCGAUGCAUCCAUCAUGUUCUCAGAAGAUACAGUUGUUACAAUUACACGUUAAGUGAACCAAAGGAAUUUUCCACGCAUCGCCUCCGUUCAACUUUGAGAUCCUUACCGUCCACUGCACAGGAUGCAUCGUGUCCUUGGACGUAGCAUGCGUGUUUAUCUCAUUUCCCAAUGUUUUUCCACGCAGUUUGAGGAUACAGGGCAGGAAACAUCGAAGGACACUAUAGAACGCCCCACCCAACACAAACAAAGGAGUAACAGUUACUGAAAUUUUCUCCAGAUGACCUUUCCCUCAAUUUGGCUGAGACGAUACAGAGGAACCCCAAAAUAGCUGGCACCAUUGUUACAUUCUGUCUGCAUUUCCAAUUAAACGUGUGUUACAGC
ensembl:lncRNA